rnacentral:rRNA from 1 species
UACGUAGGUGGCGAGCGUUGUCCGGAUUUACUGGGCGUAAAGGGCGUGCAGGCGGUUUGUUAAGUGCAGGGUGAAAGCUCCCGGCUCAACUGGGAGAGGUCCUUGCAUACUGGCGAGCUCGAGGGAGGCAGAGGAAAGUGGAAUUCCCGGUGUAGUGGUGAUAUGCGUAGAUAUCGGGAGGAACACCUGUGGCGAAGGCGGGUCUCUGGGCCGAUACUGACGCUGAGGAGCGAAAGCGUGGGGAGCGAACAGG